rnacentral:tRNA from 1 species
GCCGGAAUAGCUCAGUUGGUAGAGCAGGGGACUGAA